UGCUCUCACACACACUACUGAAAAUGCUCUCACACACACUACUGAAAAUCCUCUCACAUACACAUGUGAAAAUUUCAAUAGAAACGGAAGGCAUUUCAGUAGAAACGUUUUUUUUUUACUUUAUUGUUAGAAACGAAGUUGGUCGACUGAAGGCAUUUCAGUGGAAAUGAACCUGUGUCCGAAUUCCUGCCCUGAUCCCUAACUACUAAAACCUUAUAUAGUGCAGAACUAUAUAGUUCUAUAUAGUUCUCUGAAUUUAAAAGCAAUUCAGACACCCGUGCUCAGUACUUUUUUCUUUUGGGUGUUGUUCAUAACGCGCUUGACACGGAAACAAAGUGGCGCAUUACCGCCACCACCUGGUCUGGAGGCGAACUACUCCUAUUUAACGCGGAGAAUGACACUUAUUUGUCAGAGUAAAAACAUAAUAAAUAUGAACAUUUUACAAAGACUAUUUAUGAAUCUGCUGUGUUCUGAUCAUGGAAAACGUGACUGAUUUAUAAAUAAUUAAAUUACAAACACUUUGGUGUUGAUUUAAUGUAUUUGUUCAUAAAUAAACCCCCAAGUUAUUUUUUCAUGCCAAUAUUUAUUUUGUUUUUGUGCCGCUGAACGAUUAACGGGCCCUUGCAAGGAGGUAUUUUUUUCUGUAGUUUUCUUACACCUUACUGAAAAUGGCUUUGAAAAUGAAUCUGUCCGUGUUCCUGGCAAUAAUUCAACCGUUUUUCGUGAGAUCAAACUGAAAACGAGCAGAUAUGCAGCAUCACAGGACGGCAAGGACAAGCAGACAUCUCAGAAGAUUUCCUCUGGAUGCCCUGACCAGACAGAAUAACUUGGUCUUCCACGUCUCUACUGCUUUACCAACACAAAGGUGUCUGUCCUGGCCCUUUACGCUGACGGUCAGUCCGACACAAGACUGGAUUUUCGGUUGACCCGCAGGACCAUCGAGCAUCUGGGUCGAUGGUCCUGAAGCAUCAGCUUCGGGUUCCUCACACUCUGGGGGGUCACAGGAGACUGACGUCCUGGUGUUUCUUUUCUGGCUGGCGUGUGGCACAUCUUACAGUGUGGUAGCCAGAGUCUUUGACAUGACACGGUCCACCGUGAGCCAUGUUGUCCACAGGACGGCAGACCGCAUCCUCCAGCUGAUGAGCAGGGUCACCCAGCUUCCCAGUGGGAAUGAACUACCAUAAGUCGCCUCUGGAUUUUAGCAGCUCGCUUGGUCUUUCUCCUUCCAAAGGGUCACAAGGAGCAUUGAUGGCUGCCACAUAAGAAUAAAGGCCCUAAAAGAAAAUGCAGCUUGUUAUUUUAACAGGAAGCUUU
rnacentral:lncRNA from 1 species